AUGAUUUCGUUGCUACAGAGGAGGGACGGGGGUUGGCGACUUUACCUUCAUAUUGCGAUCACAUCUAGUCAUCGCCUUGCAGUACAGGAAGAUGGGAGGCAAGGACUGUAUGGAGAGGAGGAAGCUGGGCACCAACAGGGGACAAUGCCCGACGCCGACGCCCACCACCCAGAUCGGGGAGGGGGAAGAUGGCGGCAGGGUCAUCCCGCAGGUACAACAGGCGGGCUCCGGGGUGGCCGUGUAGGAGGAGGGUGGCGCCCAGGCCUCGCCGGUGAGGAAGAAGAGAGCCGGCUGCUCUCCUCCAUCGGCUGGAUCGAUGGGUGA
rnacentral:rRNA from 1 species